rnacentral:rRNA from 1 species
CAGGUAGGCGGCCUAGCAUGUCCUAUGUGAAAUCCCUCGGCUCAACCGAGGAACUGCAUGGGAAACUGCAAGGCUUGAGUUCGGGAAAGGGGAGUGGAAUUCCCAGUGUAGCGGUGAAAUGCGUAGAUAUUGGGAGGAACACCAGUGGCGAAGGCGGCUCACUGGGCCAUUACUGACGCUGAGGCACGAAAGCGUGGGAGCAAACA